UUUCGUAGAAAGAUUUUAGUU
rnacentral:piRNA from 1 species